rnacentral:rRNA from 1 species
CCUACGGGAGGCAGCAGUGAGGAAUAUUGGUCAAUGGGCGCGAGCCUGAACCAGCCAAGUCGCGUGAGGGCAGACGGUCCUAUGGAUUGUAAACCUCUUUUGUCGGGGAGCAAAAGACGCCACGCGUGGCGUUCCGAGAGUACCCGAAGAAAAAGCAUCGGCUAACUCCGUGCCAGCAGCCGCGGUAAUACGGAGGAUUCGAGCGUUAUCCGGAUUUAUUGGGUUUAAAGGGUGCGCAGGCGGAAGAUCAAGGCAGCGGUAAAAUUGAGAGGCUCAACCUCUUCGAGCCGUUGAAACUGGUGUUCUUGAGUGAGUGAGAAGUAGGCGGAAUGCGUGGUGUAGCGGUGAAAUGCAGAGAUAUCACGCAGAACUCCGAUUGCGAAGGCAGCAUACCGGAGCUCAACUGACGCUCAUGCACGAAAGUGUGGGUAUCGAACAGGAUUAGAUACCCCAGUAGUC